CAAGUCACAGUGGAAGCCGAAUGGGGAUUCCGUCCGCUCUCCGAUAGUCAAGCCACUAACCGGCUGAUUAGUAGUUGGGUCGGUGAUGACCAGCGAAUCCCUGCUCUGCUGCCAAGAUA
rnacentral:rRNA from 2 species